CGCAAGACGUUAUAUUUAGGAUCGUAGUGGCGUCGAGGCAGAUCGGGAAGGUCAUUGGCAAGGAAGGGUGUCGUAUUCAGAAGAUUCGAGAAGACACCAAAGCCACUGUCAAAAUCGCAGAUGCAAUCGCUCGACACGAAGAGCGCGUAAUAAUCAUUAGUUCCAAAGAGAGCGAUAAUUCCUUUUCCGAUGCCGAGAAUGCCCUCAAGCAAAUUGCCACUUUAAUUCUAAAGGAAGAUGAUAGUCCUGUGGAAGCGUCAAAAGUUGUUGGUGCAGGGCAUGUGGCUGCAAACACUAUAAGGAUGUUAAUAGCAGGUUCGCAGGCAGGUUCUUUGAUAGGGAUAUCUGGUCAAAACAUUGAGAAAUUAAGGAA
rnacentral:misc_RNA from 1 species